rnacentral:lncRNA from 12 species
AUGACAACGUUAAAGCGAGAAGCUCAAACACAUCACUCCUCAAAGGGAAGCCAGAAAUGGCCAGAACGGAAGAGAUGGGGCUUGACAGCACAGCUGCAAAAACAUUGUCGCCGACGUGAGCGCCAGGUGCGCCCCUGGUCCGACGUGAGCACCAGGUGCGCCCGGCAGGUCCGACGUGAGCACCAGGUGCGCCCGGCAGAGCAGACGGGCUUUAUGGCCAUAAUCGGGUUUGCUAUUCUGAGAUAUCAUUGUGAAUUGUGCCUUUUCCCCAAUCUUUCCUUGCAAAAAUUAGCUUCAAAAGCUGGGCCAUUAUGAGAUACUUGAGUGGCUCAGUUGGUUGAGCUUCCAAUUCUUGGUUUUGGCUCAGGUCAUGAUCUCCGGGUCAAAAGAUCAAGCCCCAGGUCAGGCUCAGCAUUCAACACAGGGUCUGCUUGUCCCUCUCUCUCCCCCUCUGUGCUCCUCUCCUUGCUUCUCUCUCUCAAAUAAAUAAAUGAAAUCUUUAAAAAUAAAUAAAUAA